GACGAACGCUGGCGGCGUGCUUAACACAUGCAAGUCGAACGGUGAACGAGGGAGCUUGCUCCCUCCGGAUCAGUGGCGAAUGGGUGAGUAACACGUGAGCAAUCUGCCCCGAACUCUGGGAUAAGCGUUGGAAACGACGUCUAAUACCGGAUACGACGCGGGAGGGCAUCCUCUCCGCGUGGAAAGAACUUCGGUUCGGGAUGAGCUCGCGGCCUAUCAGCUUGUUGGUGAGGUAACGGCUCACCAAGGCGACGACGGGUAGCCGGCCUGAGAGGGUGACCGGCCACACUGGGACUGAGACACGGCCCAGACUCCUACGGGAGGCAGCAGUGGGGAAUAUUGCACAAUGGGCGCAAGCCUGAUGCAGCAACGCCGCGUGAGGGACGACGGCCUUCGGGUUGUAAACCUCUUUUAGCAGGGAAGAAGCGAAAGUGACGGUACCUGCAGAAAAAGCACCGGCUAACUACGUG
rnacentral:rRNA from 1 species